CAGUCAACGGCGUGGUAAAGCCAAUAGUUUACGGCUUGCUGCCCAACAAAUCUGAAGCUACCUACAAAAGGUUUUUCGACGUCGUUCUGAGUCACAUGGGGGGCCAACUGCCUUGAGGUGGCUUACACGGACUUCAAGAUAGCGGCCAUCAACGAUACAGGGAUGUUUUUUUCAGUUCAGACAAUUCAGAUGACGAGUUUGCUGUUCUGCAUUGGCCUUCUUGCCAAUCACCGACAUUCC